CAGUCGCCGCGGUAAUACGAAGGGGGCUAGCGUUACUCGGAAUUACUGGGCGUAAAGGGCGCGUAGGCGGCGCUCCAAGUUAGGCGUGAAAGUCCUGGGCUCAACCUGGGAACUGCGCUUAAGACUGGAGUGCUUGAGGAUGGAAGAGGGUUGUGGAAUUCCCAGUGUAGAGGUGAAAUUCGUAGAUAUUGGGAAGAACACCGGUGGCGAAGGCGGCAACCUGGUCCAUUACUGACGCUGAGGCGCGACAGCGUGGGGAGCAAACAGGAUUAGAUACCCGUGUAGUCCCUGUCUCUUAUAC
rnacentral:rRNA from 1 species